AACGGUCGCCGAAAGAUCGUCUCUCCGACCACUCGCAAAUAUGUAUAUACAUUUUCAUAACAGCGUCGAGCAGCGCUGAAAAAAUCGAACGAUAUAUUCGUAUUCGUCGAGCGAAUCGGUCGCCAGCGGCUACGACGGGAACGCAUCGAUCCGCCGUUGGAAAAUUAUUCGUUCAUUUUUCUUUUUUCAUAGCGAUCCGCAUUCUCGCCGUUCUUGUAUUUUCCCCUCGAUUUUUUUUUGACAGCCGUCAGGCACCGCGCCGAGUCUUACCUCCGAUUCGGUCGAACUCCUCCGGGUUAUUCAGCGCCGCGUUGAGAUCGGCGAGCCGCCGAACGAGCGCGAAGAAAGAAGGAAAAAAGGGGAUAAAAUGCUCUAAAAACUUUCAGCGUCGGAAAAGCUCGCUGACGACGAAGCGACGAAUCGGAGAGAGAGAGCGAUCAUCGCCGCUAAAAAUUAACCUGCAAGAGCGAAGGAGUCUCCGUGAAAAUUUUCAUCCUCCAAAUGGAAUCCGAAGGACGAAUUACGUCGGACGACGUCGAAGAGACGACGAUUGAACUGAACGACGUCGACGCCUCGGAAAAUCCGGACGCCGAUCGUCGUCCCACCGACUCCGAGGGUCGGGCGAUCGCCUCGGUUUUCCUCCCCGAGGCGGAGGCGACGCGCUGCGACUGGGUUAUCCGCCGCUUGCGAAAUAUUUCGGCGACAACUGCGAUCCUCGGGGCGCGUCACCCAAAUUUCACCUGGCUGACGAUAUUCCACUGGGCAACGAACCUCGCUUCCGCUCUGCUCUCGUGGGCCCUGCUCUACUUUUUAUUCGGGGAUCCGGCCGCCCCGGGGGGCGCCAUUUUCACCCUUCUUCUCCUGGUCGCGGCCGCGUACUGCCUCGGCUGGGGACUGACCCACGUCCCCUACCUCCAUCUGCCCCCCGUUUUCGGCAUGCUCGUGGCCGGGGUGAUAGCGAGGAACUCGGGCCUCUACAACAUCCGGGACACCAUGAGUCCGAGGGCCAUGGGUGCCGUAAGGAACUUUUGCCUGACCUUCGUUAUGGUGAGAUCCGGCAUACAGCUGAACACAACGCCCCUCCGCAGCCACCCCGUGUUCCUCCUGAUCUUGGCCCUGCUCCCCUGCACCCUGGAAAUGUUCGUCGUUACCUUCUGCUUCAAGGGACUGCUCGACUUCCCGUGGGACUGGGCGUUCCUCGGGGGAUGCGUUAUAGCCUGCAUGUCGCCCGUGGUUACCGUCAACUGUCUUCUCGCCCUCGCGGAUCAAGGAUACGGAGAGGACCAGGAUAUCGCCGGACUCCUGUGCGCGGCGUGCUCCAUCGACGGGGUUCACAUAGUGGCCGUGUUUUCGAUAGCCUUUUCCGUGGUGUUCGAUGGUUCGUCGGAAGCGACGUGAAACGAAGAAGCGAACAACGUCUCCGUUACAUCCUUUGUUAUUAUUUAUUUAUUUUUUCUCUUUCUUCUUCAGAUUCCACGGGGAACCAGUGGUGGGCUUACCUCCCUCGCGGUCUUCGCGACAUGGUAUUCGGUGUUAUUCUCGGCACCGGUUUGGGACUGUUUUUCGUAUUUUUCCCACAUCAGAGUUCGAAAUACGCCACGUGGUAUCGCACGAUUAAUUUAUUCCUGGGCGCGCUCUGUUUCAGUCUCGGUGCUGGCACAUUUUUGAUAACCGGCGGCGGUUUUCUCGCCACGGUAUUCAUGGCAUUUGUCGCCUGCACCGGAUGGAAAG